AGAGUUUGAUCCUGGCUCAGGAUGAACGCUGGCGGCGUGCUUAACACAUGCAAGUCGAGCGAGAUUUUAUAAACCAAUCUUCGGAGGAAGUUUAUAGAUGAGCAACCUACCUUAUACAAAGGGAUAGCCUCGGGAAACUGGGAUUAAUACCUUAUAAUACUUUGGGAUCGCAUGAUCCUAAAGUCAAAGAUUUAUCGGUAUAAGAUGGGCCUGCGUCUGAUUAGCUAGUUGGUAAGGUAACGGCUUACCAAGGCGACGAUCAGUAGCCGACCUGAGAGGGUGAUCGGCCACACUGGAACUGAGACACGGUCCAGACUCCUACGGGAGGCAGCAGUGGGGAAUAUUGCACAAUGGGCGAAAGCCUGAUGCAGCAACGCCGCGUGAGCGAUGAAGGCCUUCGGGUCGUAAAGCUCUGUCCUAAGGGAAGAAUAAAUGACGGUACCUUAGGAGAAGCCCCGGCUAACUACGUGCCAGCAGCCGCGGUAAUACGUAGGGGGCAAGCGUUAUCCGGAAUUAUUGGGCGUAAAGGGUUCGCAGGCGGUCUGAUAAGCCAGGGGUGAAAGGCCACGGCUUAACCGUAGUAAGCCUUAGGAACUGUAAGUCUUGAGUGCAGGAGAGGAAAGCGGAAUUCCUAGUGUAGCGGUGAAAUGCGUAGAUAUUAGGAGGAACACCAGUGGCGAAGGCGGCUUUCUGGACUGUAACUGACACUGAGGCACGAAAGCGUGGGGAGCAAACAGGAUUAGAUACCCUGGUAGUCCACGCCGUAAACGAUGAGUACUAGGUGUCGGGAUCCGACCCCUUCGGUGCCGCAGCUAACGCAUUAAGCACUCCGCCUGGGGAGUACGUACGCAAGUAUGAAACUCAAAGGAAUUGACGGGGACCCGCACAAGCAGCGGAGCAUGUGGUUUAAUUCGAAGCAACGCGAAGAACCUUACCAAAACUUGACAUCCCGGGAAUCUGGUCUAGAGAUAGAUCUUUACCUUCGGGUACAAUGGACACAGGUGGUGCAUGGUUGUCGUCAGCUCGUGUCGUGAGAUGUUGGGUUAAGUCCCGCAACGAGCGCAACCCUUGCCUUUAGUUGCCAUCAUUAAGUUGGGCACUCUAGAGGGACUGCCGAUGAUAAAUCGGAGGAAGGUGGGGAUGACGUCAAAUCAUCAUGCCCUUUAUGUCCUGGGCUACACACGUGCUACAAUGGCCGGUACAACGAGAAGCGAAACCGCGAGGUGAAGCAAAUCUUUUAAAGCCGGUCCCAGUUCGGAUUGCAGGCUGAAACUCGCCUGCAGGAAGUUGGAGUUGCUAGUAAUCGCGGAUCAGCAUGCCGUGGUGAAUGCGUUCCCGGGUCUUGUACACACCGCCCGUCACACCAUGGAAGUUGGGGGGACCCGAAGUUAGUGAUCCAACCGUAAGGAGGAAGCUGUCGAAGGUA
rnacentral:rRNA from 1 species